CAGCACCUCAAGUGGUCAGGAUGAUUAUUGGGCCUAAAGCAUCCGUAGCCGGCGCUGCAAGUUUUCGGUUAAAUCUGUACGCUCAACGUACAGGCUGCCGGGAAUACUGCAGCGCUAGGGAGUGGGAGAGGUAGACGGUACUCGGUAGGAAGGGGUAAAAUCCUUUGAUCUAUUGAUGACCACCUGUGGCGAAGGCGGUCUACCAGAACACGUCCGACGGUGAGGGAUGAAAGCUGGGGGAGCAAACCGGAUUAGAUACCCGAGUAGUCC
rnacentral:rRNA from 1 species